CCAGGUGGGGCCCGAAUUUCUGCUCAUAUGCCACGGUCUCAUCCAAACGCUGGCCAAACACCGCUGGGAGAGAAAAACAGCACCUGCCCAUUAUUUUGACUCCCGUUGGAUGAACUGACAGGUUACCAUAGUUCAGGAUGACUUAGGCAGGCACUCCUGAGUUUGGCUGUCCCCUCCAAAUUACUUCUUUUCUUGUAGUGCCCAUAUUGUAGGUCACAGGCCCCAGAAUUGCCUCCCUGCCCCAGACCCUAGGUUCACAGGUGGACUCCAAACAUCAGCUGAGAUCACCUGGGACAGGAAGCUAGAAGCUUGACAAUGAGCAUGGCCUCAGAGUUGUCCUUUGGCCUUUGAACACUGUUCAAGGGAAGAUCAUAUCUAGAGCUGCUUCCCCCCAUCACAGAGAUGUUACAGACACCUGCCCAGGAAAGCCUGUCGGGGUCCUUACCUCCAGAGGGUGUGCCAGCGACUCUCUUCAGGAAUUUAACCCAUUCCUCCAUCUCCGCCUGGGAGCUGGCCAUGAGGACAUAGGAGUCCUGUCCCGUGCGACUCUGGUCCCAUGAAGCUAAAGGAAGAAGCAACACUAAUAAAGGUCUUAGAGUGGAAAGGGGCUGGAGCAAGAGGAAGCAAAGAGAAGCUGAACCUGAAUUGCUUCCUUGGUUCAAUUUUUUCCUUUAAACAACACCAAAGCAUUAUCUGCUUAAUCUCAGUGACACUGAAUAUCUGUUCACCCUUAUUGUUUUGGCUGAUACUCUAGUUCUCUAGACAAUCACUGGCCACAUGGCUUGCAUCAGGGUGACUUGGGCUGACAGCUACUCCUGUGGAGGACAGAAGCCAUUUGCUACCAAAAAGGAGGAGGAAAUUCAUGAGGCAGGUUCAGUAUUAGAGGAGAGAGGAUCACCCCAUACAAGUUUGAAGAUUCCAUUCAAUUCAUCAUGCCAAUCCUGGGUAGUUUCCUAAGCUACUCUUAAACUCAGUUGUGAAGACAGGGAAGGAAACAGCAACUCAGGAGGGAGGAACAAUAAACAUGUGUGUGUGUGUUUCUCAUGAAA